UCUCCGGUCACUUUCUUCUUUUUCAGAGAACGAAUUUGAUUUUGGGUUUUCAGAUCUGGCAGUGAUUUUCAGAGCUCAAUCAUCAAUCAUGGUGGUUAUCGUUUGUUGAAUUACAACAUCAUCAAAAACCAGAUCUCGUCUUCUCGUCGAUCGCGCUUUGUAAUAGGUUAUCUCCGUUAAGAACGUCAACGCCAGAUUUCUUUAGUAAAAGGUGCUCUAUAUAAACUAGGAAUCCGUGUUUGUAGAAGGAAGCUGAGUACAGUGUAUGAGAACCAUCCAAAGUUCAACUUGUCACAACACGCUAGUGCUCUUGAUGGAUUCUCGUGUCAAGAUAGGUUUUUAAGCUCAAGUUUCCUUUACUCAUUGCUCACACAGAAACCUAGUUCUGAAGGAGCACCAGGUGCUGCAAGAUAUGCAUUGAAACUUUAAUGGUAUAUAUUUAUCUUCAUGCAGCUGGGAUUUUUAUGAUUUGACCCCCAGUUAUUUUCAUGACACAUUCUUAGAAGCUUUGUAAUUACUAACAUGAAUAGUUGCAGCUUCUCGAUGCACUUCAAAACAACAUGAACAGUUGCAGCUUCUCGACUACACCAUAACUAUGGUUCGAUGGUUGUGUAUGAAGUGCAUUUAGAAAUCGCGAGAGACUUUUUUUUGAAGUUUAUGAGUACAUUAAUUUGUAUGUCAGUAUUGCAACUUUUGUUUAUUUUGACACAUUCA